ACGGGAGGCAGCAGUGGGGAAUAUUGCACAAUGGGGGAAACCCUGAUGCAGCAACGCCGCGUGAGGGAUGAAGGUUUUCGGAUUGUAAACCUCUGUCUUCGGUGACGAUUAUGACGGUAGCCGAGGAGGAAGCUCCGGCUAACUACGUGCCAGCAGCCGCGGUAAUACGUAGGGAGCGAGCGUUGUCCGGAUUUACUGGGUGUAAAGGGUGCGUAGGCGGGACUUCAAGUCAGGUGUGAAAUCUAUCGGCUUAACCGGUAAACUGCACUUGAAACUGUAGUUCUUGAGUGAAGUAGAGGCAGGCGGAAUUCCGAGUGUAGCGGUGAAAUGCGUAGAUAUUCGGAGGAACACCAGUGGCGAAGGCGGCCUGCUGGGCUUUUACUGACGCUGAGGCACGAAAGCGUGGGGAGCAAACAGGAUUAGAUACCCUGGUA
rnacentral:rRNA from 1 species